UUUUAUUGUCAUUAUUAUUUUUAUUAUUAUUUUUAUUUUUCAGUGCUGGAAAGCCUAAUCCUAGCCUUUUCCUUAAAGCCUCGGAGUAUUUUGAUGACGUAGACAUAGAAAAUAUCCUGGUUUUUGAAGACAGUGUCAGUGGAGUCAAGGCUGCCCAGGACGCCGGGAUGAACGUGGUGAUGAUCCCGGACACAGAGGCGGUCGUCAAAUCCGUGGAUGUUAUCAGUUCUCUAGAAAAUUUCCGUCCUGAAGCUUACGGUCUACCCCCCUAUGAGGAUAAGGAUGAUGGUGACGAUCAAGAUGAUGGAGUGGACGAUCAAAAUGAUGAGGAUAGUCACCUUUGAAGGUCAAGAUUAGACUAUCAAGACGAUAGAUUCGAAGACGAAGUCGAAGUGAGACGAGAUUAGAAGAAAAUGUUAAUUAUUGCUGAUGGUGUGAUAAACCUGAUUGUCCCUUGACCUACACUAUUAGAUAGAGAUGGCCACGUUCGGUUUUUUUAAACUUUCUUCGUGAUUCGUGAAAGACCCAUUUCGUUCUAGUUUUUUCAAUCACUCAAAAAAAUGAUUUCUUUCCUUCUCAAAAUUAACAUUUCUAUCUACAUCGUUCAUUUUCUCACUGAACGAACGUUCAUUCAAAUUGUUUGUUUAAAAUAUCGUUCGUUCAACGAAAUCGUCGUUCGAUUAAUACCUUUGUUUACAAAAAACUUCAAUCGUUCACAAAAAUUUAGUUCGUUGACUGAAACGAUGCCCAUCUCUGCUAUUGUUUGUAUAUUUAGAAAUCCUGAACAAAAUGUUAGAGAUGUCUCACAAAUGUUCAUAUCCAAAACAUUCGAAAUGUUUUCUAACAGGAUUGGUAUGUUUUAGUUCGUGUCAAUAUCUACGAAGACUAUUUUGUCUGAGGGCCGAUGGUGAAAGCCUAUUAUUAUCUUAAAUUAAUAAAAUGAACUAAAUUCA